GGCUGCUUUCGGUUAUUGCUGGAAUCGCCGCAACUGCUACCGGAGACACUUCCACGUGUGGACGCAAUUAAAGUCCCAAGGCUUGGCUCCCAGUGGAGAAGACGAAUACAGUCUCACACAGCAUGAGGCCUGGUUAGUCACGGGGGGACCAAAUCGAACCCCGACAGGCAACAAAUGUGCUGCAGGCCUGAGUUGACGUAUUCCGCAAGGGUCAAAGACUUGUGCAAGUUAUCCAUUGCUGAAGCUAUCGACAAGUAUCCAUAUCUCAGGGACAUUCAAUGGUUGUUUGAGGAUUUCAAGCAACUUCUGAAGAAAGAUGGGAAUGAAGCGGUCGAGGCGGCGUUCCAUAAGAUUGUGAAACUUGCUCUAAGAAGAGACCAAGGGGGCUCCAAAAAAGACCUGAAGCCUUUACUUGAAAUUGACCCGCCAGGAACCGGUGCAAGACGCAAGAAACACGUUCAGGCCGUACGUGCCCUGGAACUCCUGGCAAGCGUACUUAAGCAGCCUAUAGUGCAACUCACAUGAUGUCUUUGCCUUCGGAGGCGAAGAAACCACUUACCCCUUGCUUCGUAUUUUCGGGCCCGAGUUUCAAAGAGGCCGAAGCGCUCUUCCUCUACAUCGAGAAAAGUCGACUGUUGCGCGUCAUAGAUGUAGUGGAAGGGACCACAGCAAUCAUGACCGCCCAGUGGAUGUUUAAUUCAAAGUGCAACAGAAAAGCAUUUAAUAUUUCUUGUGUUUUGGAACACCUAUUUUAAGGGGUUUCGAUUUCAAGGCCCAGGAGCAUCGCCCAACGCUCCUGGGCCUUUAAAGAUUAGGUAACCGGUACAUAUAACGGGUGUUUCAGCAAAGACUGACAAAAAUUCCUAAAAUUAGUGUGAUCAAGGUAAAAGUAAUUUUUCUCGGGACAGCAUUACUCUUGGUGGCAGACGUCAGAAAAUGUGCGAUACUUACUAGUUAGUGCGGUACUUCAUUACAUAUAACUAAUUAACUUUAUAUUAAGUGAAAAUAAACAUAUGGCUCGAACUAGAACCUUGCUGAGCGUCAUCGAAAACCACUUAAUCAGUAAUUUUCAGAAAUAUUCAGGACGUAGGAAGCGUAGUGUGCUAAAGUUACCACUCGUGGAACAGAUACAAGGCUAGGGCUCUGAGAAGAGACGGAAGAAUCGCUCGGGCGCCUUAUCAGACCGCUAUCUGUGUAUCUGCUGCACGAGGGGUAACUUCAGCGCACCACUACGCUUUUCACGCGUUCAAAGCCUUUCUGAAAAUUACGAAUUUUGUGCUUUCUGAUGACGCUCCGCAAGUUUCUGGUUGGAACCAUGUGUCUUUUUACUAAUGAAAAUGUUAAUUAGUUUUUUUUUAAUAAUUAACAACCUAAUUUGUUAGGUAUCGCGCAUUUCUGACGUCCGCCACCACGAGUAAUGCAGUCCCGAGAAUAUGAUCUUUGUACUUCGAAUACACACAUUUUAGGAAUUUUUUCAGUCUUCGCUGAAAUACCUGGUAUACUCCAAGCUGCUCGGGUAUCGCGCUCGGCAGACAUUGUAUUAGAAGAUUACAGUCUUGAUCAGUGGGCUAAUUAACCUAAACAGGCAAAUUAAUUUAACACUUUCGUAGGUCAUAUUGCAGCUGCAGGUUUUAACGGCAGUCAAUGUCAGAGCCAAAAUCAAUUUAAACAAUUCGCAUAAAGGCAAGAGUUUUGAUAUAUUAAUAGAUCAGUUUUCUGAUUUUGUCGCGCGAUUCUAAAAGUAAAUACACAGUAAGAAAGCUCUGUCCUCAAUGAAGCCUAUGAGGGGUGACAUAGUCGUUUCGGUUUCUUCGUAUUUAAGUGGCCAGCGCAUCUUUGGUGGAUAUGCCGAUGACAUAAUGCCGAGAGGGUAACAGGGUACCAGAAAAGUGUAUGUCACAUUUCUAUGCACAAUCUAGAGGGCUUGUGGCGUUUUAGUUUAUAGCUUCGGAAUUGCGUGUCAAAAACGCGGAAACUGAUCUCUUGAUAUUGCAAAGCACUUUGCAUUCAUUCAAAAUCUUCAGAUUAGGUUAGUCUCUAACUUUACUUGCUCUCAACGCUGCAAUGAAUAUAAAACGCAUAAAAUGGUUAAGUGAAACCCCGAAAGUUUAAGUUAAUUAGUCUACAGGUUAUUAAUUAUCAUGCGAUCUGAUGUCCGUUGAGCCCGAUACACAUAAAGUGAAGAUGUUACUCGUGUAUACUGGUCAUCCUUUUUACAUCUGUACGCAUUAAAAUCAUCCACCCUAUAUUGUCACUCUGGCGCGAGCGCGCACACCAUGCUCUUUAGGGAGCAUGGACAUUGAAUGAGCUCGUGCUUGUAUACGCCGAGGAAGCUACGCGUAAUAAGCUACAAACACUCGACGCUGGGAGUUUUAACAUACUGAAAGGUUGUAUAUGCAAGACGCACAAAUUAAAAGAGUAUUCAACUUUCA
rnacentral:lncRNA from 1 species